rnacentral:rRNA from 1 species
UGGGGAAUAUUGCGCAAUGGGGGAAACCCUGACGCAGCGACGCCGCGUGCGGGAUGAAGGCCUUCGGGUUGUAAACCGCUUUUGAUUGGGAGCAAGCUUUCGGGUGAGUGUACCUUUCGAAUAAGCGCCGGCUAACUACGUGCCAGCAGCCGCGGUAAUACGUAGGGCGCAAGCGUUAUCCGGAAUUAUUGGGCGUAAAGAGCUUGUAGGCGGUUCGUCGCGUCUGGUGUGAAAGCCCAUCGCUUAACGGUGGGUUUGCGCCGGGUACGGGCGGGCUAGAGUGCAGUAGGGGAGACUGGAAUUCCAUGUGUAGCGGUGAAAUGCGUAGAUAUAUGGAGGAACACCGGUGGCGAAAGCGGCUCUCUGGUCUGUAACUGACGCUGAGGCUCGAAAGCGUGGGUAGCAAACAGG